CUUCAGCAGUAAAAAUUAUACUUAAAUUGGAACGAUACUUAUAGAGAAUAUUUAGCAUGGUAGCAUGGUCCCUGCGAAAGGUUGAUAAAAAUUUUAAAGCGUCCCACAUUUUU